UGGGGAAUUUUCCGCAAUGGGCGAAAGCCUGACGGAGCAGUACCGCGUGAGGGAAGACUGCCUAUGGGUUGUAAACCUCUUUUUUCAGGGAGGAAUAAAAUGACGUGUACCUGAAGAAUAAGCAUCGGCUAACUCCGUGCCAGCAGCCGCGGUAAGACGGAGGAUGCAAGUGUUAUCCGGAAUCACUGGGCGUAAAGCGUCUGUAGGUGGUUUAAUAAGUCAACUGUUAAAUCUUGAGGCUCAACUUCAAAAUCGCAGUCGAAACUAUUAGACUAGAGUAUAGUAGGGGUAAAGGGAAUUUCCAGUGGAGCGGUGAAAUGCGUAGAUAUUGGAAAGAACACCGAUGGCGAAAGCACUUUACUGGGCUAUUACUAACACUCAGAGACGAAAGCUAGGGUAGCAAAUGGGAUUAGAUACCCCAGUAGUCCUAGCCGUAAACUAUGGAUACUAGAUGUUGAACAGAUCGACCUGUGCAGUAUCAAAGCUAACGCGUUAAGUAUCCCGCCUGGGAAGUAUGCUCGCAAGAGUG
rnacentral:rRNA from 1 species